rnacentral:lncRNA from 1 species
UUUGCUUUUUAAGACUCCAUAAUAAUUAUGUUGGACUUGAUCUUUUCCCAAAGUGGUUGACUGUCAAUAGUUCGAAUUGGUCCAGUCAACAAAAUUAUAAAAGGCAUUUUUUUCGGGGGCGACUGACACUCUCUCUUGCGAUCUUUUACGUUUCCAGCCCCUAUCCAUAUACCCCUACCCCAACGCAUGCUCCCCUAGUCUCACUUCCCCACCCCCUUGGCCUUGAUCAGAGAUAGAAAAUCAGUGAAACAAAAAUUGAGAAUGUUGUUUUUAGGGUGAUUUGAAAUAACUGAUGCACGGUGAUUACAG